GGGAUGCGUUCCAUUAGGCAGUUGGUGAGGUAACGGCUCACCAAACCUUCGAUGGAUAGGGGUUCUGAGAGGAAGGUCCCCCACAUUGGAACUGAGACACGGUCCAAACUCCUACGGGAGGCAGCAGUGAGGAAUAUUGGUCAAUGGACGAGAGUCUGAACCAGCCAAGUAGCGUGAAGGAUGACUGCCCUAUGGGUUGUAAACUUCUUUUAUAUGGGAAUAAAGUUUUCCACGUGUGGAAUUUUGUAUGUACCAUAUGAAUAAGGAUCGGCUAACUCCGUGCCAGCAGCCGCGGUAAUACGGAGGAUCCGAGCGUUAUCCGGAUUUAUUGGGUUUAAAGGGAGCGUAGGUGGAUAGUUAAGUCAGUUGUGAAAGUUUGCGGCUCAACCGUAAAAUUGCAGUUGAUACUGGCUGUCUUGAGUACAGUAGAGGUGGGCGGAAUUCGUGGUGUAGCGGUGAAAUGCUUAGAUAUCACGAAGAACUCCGAUUGCGAAGGCAGCUCACUGGACUGCAACUGACACUGAUGCUCGAAAGUGUGGGUAUCAAACAGGAUUAGAUACCCUGGUAGUCCACACAGUAAACGAUGAAUACUCGCUGUUUGCGAUAUACAGUAAGCGGCCAAGCGAAAGCAUUAAGUAUUCCACCUGGGGAGUACGCCGGCAACGGUGAAACUCAAAGGAAUUGACGGGGGCCCGCACAAGCGGAGGAACAUGUGGUUUAAUUCGAUGAUACGCGAGGAACCUUACCCGGGCUUAAAUUGCAUUUGAAUAAUCUGGAAACAGGUUAGCCGUAAGGCAAAUGUGAAGGUGCUGCAUGGUUGUCGUCAGCUCGUGCCGUGAGGUGUCGGCUUAAGUGCCAUAACGAGCGCAACCCUUAUCUUUAGUUACUAACAGGUUAUGCUGAGGACUCUAGAGAGACUGCCGUCGUAAGAUGUGAGGAAGGUGGGGAUGACGUCAAAUCAGCACGGCCCUUACGUCCGGGGCUACACACGUGUUACAAUGGGGGGUACAGAAGGCAGCUACCUGGUGACAGGAUGCUAAUCCCAAA
rnacentral:rRNA from 1 species